GCUGGAUCUUCCCACAAUGCUCAGGAGAGGAGGCCCCCCGAGGCGUUAAGGAGAGACCAGCCGGUGUGUGGCAGCCCCGGUGGCUCCGGAGGAGCGAACAGCACCUUGCAGGCCCCGCUGUGGGAUGGCGAGGUAACGGGGAGGAGCUCGAAAUGGAUUCGCCCCACAAGAUGGUCAGAUGCCGACAAACAAGAGAAGUGCUGUUAGGAGAAUGCAUACGAAGGCCUGAGGAAUGUUCUAUUUACGGGCUUCGGAGGAGCCAUAAUCCCCAAUCUUCUACUUGCUGCUGCUGUUGCUUGAGAAGCA